GACGAACCGUGCGAACGUUGUUCGGAAUCACUGGGCUUAAAGGGCGCGUAGGCGGCUACUUAAGUCGGAUGUGAAAGCCCUUGGCUCAACUGAGGAAGUGCACCCGAAACUGAGUAGCUGGAGUACGAAAGAGGGUCGCGGAAUUCCCGGUGUAGAGGUGAAAUUCGUAGAUAUCGGGAGGAACACCGGUGGCGAAGGCGGCGACCUGGGCGAUACUGACGCUGAUGCGCGAAAGCGUGGGGAGCAAAC
rnacentral:rRNA from 1 species